GACGAACGCUGGCGGCGUGCUUAACACAUGCCAGUCGAACGGAAAGGCCCUGCUUUUGUGGGGUGCUCGAGUGGCGAACGGGUGAGUAACACGUGAGUAACCUGCCCUUGACUUUGGGAUAACUUCAGGAAACUGGGGCUCAUACCGGAUAGGAGCUCCUGCUGCAUGGUGGGGGUUGGAAAGUUUCGGCGGUUGGGGAUGGACUCGCGGCUUAUCAGCUUGUUGGUGGGGUAGUGGCUUACCAAGGCUUUGACGGGUAGCCGGCCUGAGAGGGUGACCGGCCACAUUGGGACUGAGAUACGGCGCAGACUCCUACGGGAGGCAGCAGUGGGGAAUAUUGCACAAUGGGCGGAAGCCUGAUGCAGCAACGCCGCGUGCGGGAUGACGGCCUUCGGGUUGUAAACCGCUUUCGCCUGUGACGAAGCGUGAGUGACGGUAAUGGGUAAAGAAGCACCGGCUAACUACGUG
rnacentral:rRNA from 1 species